AGGAAGAACCAUAGAGAGAGAAGGGAAGGAGAAUCUCUAGAGAAGGUGUCAAUAUUCAAAGUGGUGAAGAAGUAGCUAUUAAACUGCCACCACAAAAGCAACCAAAGACGACGACCUUUCUUUCAUUUUUUCAGAUGCCACAACAAGCUCAAGAAAAGUCUUGAAAAACAACAGUCAGGUGAGUUCAUUCGUU